AUCUAAAUAGCUUAAAAUUUAAAGUUUAAUAGUGAAAAUAUUAAGAUAUUAUUAAUUAUUUUUAGAUA
rnacentral:tRNA from 1 species